rnacentral:lncRNA from 1 species
UGAUAGGAGUUGUUGAAGUUGUCAAGUUUUUCAUUUUUACUCUUCUUCGGGCAUACACUAGUGUAUGCCUUCUCUUCUUGAUUUGACAACUUGGCCAGAGGAAGUGUAAAGUGAUAAAGACUUCCUUAUUAUUGAUUACUAUCCUUUUGAUAUGGUACGUUAUUUCAAGAGUGUGGCAGAUAUAUUUUUUUAAUAUAAACAUAGCCUGAUUGAAACAUGACACGCCUUGCGAACAACAAU